rnacentral:rRNA from 1 species
GAAAGCCGCAAGGCGCGUAGGGAGCGGCCUGAGUCCGAUUAGCUAGUUGGUGGGGUAAAGGCCUACCAAGGCAGCGAUCGGUAGCUGGUCUGAGAGGAUGAGCAGCCACACUGGGACUGAGACACGGCCCAGACUCCUACGGGAGGCAGCAGUGGGGAAUUUUCCGCAAUGGGCGAAAGCCUGACGGAGCAAUACCGCGUGAGGGAGGAAGGCCUUUGGGUUGUAAACCUCUUUUCUCAAGGAAGAAGUUCUGACGGUACUUGAGGAAUCAGCAUCGGCUAACUCCGUGCCAGCAGCCGCGGUAAUACGGAGGAUGCAAGCGUUAUCCGGAAUUAUUGGGCGUAAAGCGUCCGCAGGUGGUCUUCCAAGUCUGCUGUCAAAGACCGGAGCUCAACUCUGGGCAGGCGGUGGAAACUGGAAAACUAGAGUACGGUAGGGGUAGAGGGAAUUCCCAGUGUAGCGGUGAAAUGCGUAGAGAUUGGGAAGAACACCAGUGGCGAAGGCGCUCUACUGGACCGUAACUGACGCUCAGGGACGAAAGCUAGGGGAGCGAAAGGGAUUAGAUACCCCUGUAGUCCUAGCUGUAAACGAUGGAUACUAGGCGUUGCUUGUAUCGACCCGAGCAGUGCCGUAGCUAACGCGUUAAGUAUCCCGCCUGGGGAGUACGCACGCAAGUGUGAAACUCAAAGGAAUUGACGGGGGCCCGCACAAGCGGUGGAGUAUGUGGUUUAAUUCGAUGCAACGCGAAGAACCUUACCAGGGCUUGACAUGUCGCGAACCUUGUGGAAACAUGAGGGUGCCUUCGGGAGCGCGAACACAGGUGGUGCAUGGCUGACGUCAGCUCGUGUCGUGAGAUGUUGGGUUAAGUCCCGCAACGAGCGCAACCCUCGUCCUUAGUUGCCAGCACCUUGGGUGGGCACUCUAGGGAGACUGCCGGUGACAAACCGGAGGAAGGUGGGGAUGACGUCAAGUCAGCAUGCCCCUUACGUCCUGGGCGACACACGUACUACAAUGGGAGGGACAAAGGGCAGCGAGCUCGCAAGAGUAAGCGAAUCUCAGCAAACCCUGCCUCAGUUCAGAUUGCAGGCUGCAACUCGCCUGCAUGAAGGAGGAAUCGCUAGUAAUCGCAGGUCAGCAUACUGCGGUGAAU